AGGGAGCGGGCGCCGCGGAGAGGGCGGAGAGAAUAACUAACUCCCUCUGACCAAUUGUUUUCAGUUUAUAAUUUUUUCCAGGGCUAGAAUCCCUGGGAACUGGGGUUGGGGGUUAGUGUUUGGGAGAUUUCUUUGGGUUGGGUUGGGUUUUGCGCCCUCUCUGCCUCUGUGUCUCUUUGUUUUGUUUUUACCUAGAUAUCCCUUUGAAACUCAGCCACGAAGGAGAGAGUAAAAAGCAAUGCUCAGAAUGUCGGAACUGGAAGGAACCUCAGAACCGACUACACAGAUGGCUAUAGAUCAAAGGCAAUGAGGGUUACCUAGCACUUUGCAAAGCUUAAGACACAUAUAAAUGGAAAAUUAUAUUAUUCGCAUAGACAUGGAGGACACCAGCAAUGGGGAGGCUCCAGAAAAACUCUUCAGAGAAAAGGUCUCCCAAGGGAAACUCUCACUCAGAUAGAACAAUGGUAGAAAAGGAGGGAAGGAAAGAAUUUGAAAGAAUUUUUACAGUUGAGGAAACUGAGGUAAACAGAGGUGAAGUGACUUGCCCAGGACCACCCAGCUAGAUGGAGUGAAAUGUCAAUGGGACAUUGUGCUGGACAGAUCUGGAGUCGGAGGACUCAGGUGGGAAUCCUGCUUCUUCCACAUAACAUGUCUUAAUUACCAAUGAGAUAAGUUCCCAAAGAGCAGCAAUCCAUCUUUAUCUCAGCUAUAGGCAUUGGUCAUUGUUGGUGUUCAGCAACAGUUCUACGGAUUCUUUAUUGUACUGACUCUCCAUUAGCCCAGGCAGAGUGAGCCAUAGGCUUUCUUUCAUUCCUUUGUCCACUGUUCCUCUCACCUGGAGUGCCUUCUCCCCACCUC